rnacentral:siRNA from 1 species
UCAUAGUAUUGGUGUCUGUGCUC